rnacentral:tRNA from 1 species
GGCCCCAUCGUCUAGCGGUUAGGACGCCGCCCUCUCAAGGCGGAAGCGGGGGUUCGAUUCCCCCUGGGGCUACCA